UACAGAGGUCUCAAGCGUUGUUCGGAUUCAUUGGGCGUAAAGGGUGCGUAGGCGGUGAGGUAAGUCUGGUGUGAAAUCCCGGGGCUCAACCCCGGAACUGCACUGGAUACUGCCUUACUUGAGCACUGGAGAGGGAACUGGAAUUUACGGUGUAGCAGUGAAAUGCGUAGAUAUCGUAAGGAAGACCAGCGGCGAAGGCGAGUUCCUGGACAGUUGCUGACGCUGAGGCACGAAGGCCAGGGGAGCAAACGGGG
rnacentral:rRNA from 1 species